UGGGGAAUAUUGGACAAUGGGCGCAAGCCUGAUCCAGCCAUGCCGCGUGAGUGAUGAAGGCCCUAGGGUUGUAAAGCUCUUUCACCGGUGAAGAUAAUGACGGUAACCGGAGAAGAAGCCCCGGCUAACUUCGUGCCAGCAGCCGCGGUAAUACGAAGGGGGCUAGCGUUGUUCGGAUUUACUGGGCGUAAAGCGCACGUAGGCGGACUUUUAAGUCAGGGGUGAAAUCCCGGGGCUCAACCCCGGAACUGCCUUUGAUACUGGAAGUCUUGAGUAUGGUAGAGGUGAGUGGAAUUCCGAGUGUAGAGGUGAAAUUCGUAGAUAUUCGGAGGAACACCAGUGGCGAAGGCGGCUCACUGGACCAUUACUGACGCUGAGGUGCGAAAGCGUGGGGAGC
rnacentral:rRNA from 1 species